GGUCUUCAUUGAGUUAUAAGGAAGGCCCUGAUUGGUAGAAUAUUAUUCCUAUUAUUCUUGGACCCCUGGAUUUCUUGUGUUUCCUCCUAAGAAAAUCAUUUUUUUUCCUCAGUGUAGAAACAAGGUAUUUUCGAUUUAAAAUCUUUGCUUUUACAAAACCUAAAAAUCCUGUUUUUGCUCAUAUUUUCGGUUUCGUUGUUGGGAACUCAAAUUAUGGUGGUUUUUCAGCUGUUUCUUGGUAUGGCGUGCUGUGAUUCUGCUGAACUUUUACAGGAUCUCAUAAGUUUUCUUGUCCCUAGAUUGCUUUACCCCUAUGUUAACUCUACUCAGAGAAGAAGGGUAGAGUCCUUCAGAGGUGAAAGGUUUGUGGUUGGAGAUCUCUAGUACCACUGCAGACGCAGAAUUAGGGUAGUGCAUAAGUGGGUAAAAGUUUUAGGUGCCUUUAUUUAUGAAACCGUUGGUUUGAGGAGAAGAUUUCUGUUUCAUUAAAAUGCCUUGGUUAGGUAGCAUUCAGUAAUCAUACUUACGAGCAUCCAUCUGUUCCAGACGCUGGUCUAGGUACUGUGGGACAUAUAAAUAAGAAUAAAAAGAUGUUUCUGCCUUCAAGAGUUUAUAGUCUAAUUUUGGGGGAGAAGGCAUGAGUUCUCAAAGAAGAUUUUUUUUUUUUAACUGCAAAGGUUAAGUAAUAGAAUACUUUUUUUCAAGUUUGUUUUUAAUCUCGCAAAGAAAGUCUACUACCCAUUGACUUCUGGGAAUUUGUUUGCCACCCAACAUUACAUCACUCUGAUUCAUCCAUGUUGUAUAUAGCUGUAGUUCACUGGCUUUCAUUGCUGUACAUGAUGUCUAUAGCAAUAUGUUUCCCAGUUCUGCCAAUGGCUUUUUUUUCCCCCCACUUGAAAAAAAAAUUUGCCAAGAGUGCUGCUCUGGUCAUUCAUGUUUCCUGGGGCAUAUGUGCAAGUGUUUCUCUUGGGGAAAUACCAAGGAACAGAGUGCUUGAUUUUUAGGAUGUGUAAGCAUUCGACUUACUAGGUAUUGCCAAAUUAUUUCCCAGAAUUGUACUAAUUUACACAAGCCAGGGAAAUAAGCAAACACAAAUGAUCAGGUACAAACAAGCAUUUAUACAGGGGUGUGUGUUGAAAUACAUGUUUUUGUUUUUGUUUUUUUAAAUCAUAAACUUAGGGCAGCCCGGGUGGCUCAGAGGUUUAGCGCCGCCUUCAGUCCAGGGCGUGAUCCUGGAGACCCGGGAUCGAGUCCCACGUCAGGCUCCCUGCAUGGAGCCUGCUUCUCCCUCUGCCUGUGUCUCUGCCGCUCUCUCUCUCUCUCUCUCUCUCUCCCCCCUCUCUGUGUUUCUCAUGAAUAAAUAAAUAAAUAGUUUUAAAAACAUCAAUCAUAAACUUAAAACCUGGGACAGCAGUUGUCUUCUGAGAGGACCAGGGGAUGGCAUGGGGAAGACAUGUGGGUGGGUAUGAGUUAUUGGUAAUGAUCUAGUAGCUAGAGUAAGUUCAUAGGUGAUCAUCAUAUUAUAAAAAAAAGUAAGGCAAGGGGGUCAUGCAUGGAUCAGUAAUAAUUUAAAAUUCUAAGGAAAAAGAAAAUAAGGACAAUAUAGAGUCAUCACAAGACAGAGCAGUCUCCUGUACCAAAACCCCACAAGAUGUCAGUGGAGGGGUGAGGAAGCAGCCCCUGUGUGGACAUGUAAUGUGUAGAGUCCACAGCUUCCAGGGAGGAUGAGCAGGAAGCGGCCUUGCUGAGAAGCGGAACCUCAGCCAUCUUGGACAGAGGAAGUGAAAGAAGAGGAAGUGAGUGGAAGUGGAAGAAGCCAUGGGACAUUUUCCAACAAUGAACCAUUCCAAGAGUUUAUUAAAGAAAUCUAGAGAACUGGUGGGGGGCCGGGGGAGAGAUUCAAGGUGGGAUCCCUGGUUUGGAAGCUGCUGACUGAGAUGAGAAUUCUCCAUUUGGAGGGAACUAAAAGGAAAGAAUGGAUUUUAAAAGACACUGGGAGAAGAAUCCGAGGCUUAAUAGGAAGAGGAGGAAGGAGUCAAAGAUGUUUCACUUUAAUUAAAAGAAAUAGAGGAGUCGCGGUGAGGAGCUUUCAGUGUGAUUCAGACAUGUCAGAGCAGGGCCAUAGGUCUUCAAGCUCGUGCUUGAGGACGUGAACAUGGAGCUGGUGGGCAGUUAGGACACUCUAAGUGAAGAAGGUGAUUUUCUAAUGAUGCGUCCGGUGCAUGUGGAGGGAAGCCUACAUGAAAUGCAUUUGUGUUAUUUUUUAUUUCCUUGUACAAAGGAGGUAAACCAUCAGUGGGUUAAGGGGCGAGGGUGCUUUGACUUGACGGGAAGUAGGGGUCGUGGAAUUGAGAGUGUGCCGGCCUCACAGUCAGAAGAGUUCGAAUCAAAUCUUUCCUGACCGUUUCCUAGUUGUGUGUAAUUUGGCGGGGGGGGGGGGGGGGGGGGGGGGGGGACACACCGCUCUGAGUCUCAGCCAUAGCACAUCUAAAAUGAGGAUAUUAAUAGCCACUUGAUUGGGGACUAGGGCCUUUAGGGCUGAUGUUUGGUCUCAUACUGUUUCCCAUCUAAUGUUGCAGAGUAAAGGCACAUGCAUUUAUAUUCUCUGACGCAUACUCCCUUGGAAAAGAUAAACCCUUGACGUUCUCUUCAUUAUAAUAUAGAGUUGCUUAUGCUCUCUUGUGGGGACAGGAUAAGGCUUUUUAUUUCCAGGGCUAUUCUGGAAUAAUGUAUAGUGUCGUUUUGAUUGAAUACUGUUUUAGCUGACAUUUUAAUUUGUAUAUAUUAUGAUAGGUGUUUUAGCAUAUUCUCAUCAUAUUCUAAAAUUCCUUUUCUGGGACGCCUGGGUGGCUCAGCAGUUGGGCACCUGCCUUUGGCCCAGGGCGUGAUCCUGGAGUCUCCGGAUCAAGUCCCGCAUCGGGCUCCCUGCAGGGAGCCUGCUUCUCCCUCUGCCUAUGUCUCUGCCCCUCUCUCUGUCUCUGUGUCUCUCAUCAA
rnacentral:lncRNA from 1 species